rnacentral:rRNA from 1 species
UACGGGGGGGGCAAGCGUUGUUCGGAAUUACUGGGCGUAAAGGGCGCGUAGGCGGCCUGCUAAGUCGGAUGUGAAAUCCCUCGGCCCAACCGAGGAACUGCAUCCGAUACUGGCGGGCUUGAAUCCGGGAGAGGGAUGUGGAAUUCCAGGUGUAGCGGUGAAAUGCGUAGAUAUCUGGAGGAACACCGGUGGCGAAGGCGGCAUCCUGGACCGGUAUUGACGCUGAGGCGCGAAAGCUAGGGGAGCAAACGGG